rnacentral:rRNA from 1 species
CAUUCACGGAGAGUUUGAUCCUGGCUCAGGACGAACGCUGGCGGCGUGCUUAACACAUGCAAGUCGAACGAUGAACCACUUCGGUGGGGAUUAGUGGCGAACGGGUGAGUAACACGUGGGCAAUCUGCCCUUCACUCUGGGACAAGCCCUGGAAACGGGGUCUAAUA